AUGCUCAUCUGGCAGGGGAGACACCGUGGUCACGAGGGGGUUUUCCCAGGGCGAGGCUUAUCCAUUGCACUCCUGCGUGCUGACCCCGCGACUUCCCGUGUGGGAAACAACUGUGUAACUAGCGGGAGUGGGAGGGGGCAGGAGCAGCACACGUCCCCGCUUG
rnacentral:snRNA from 11 species